rnacentral:rRNA from 1 species
UACGAAGGGGGCGAGCGUUGUUCGGAUUUACUGGGCGUAAAGGGUGCGUAGGCGGCGCGGUAAGUCGGGUGUGAAAUUUCGAGGCUUAACUUCGAAACUGCAUUCGAUACUGCGAGGCUAGAGUCCCGGAGAGGAUGGUGGAACUCUCGGUGUAGAGGUGAAAUUCGUAGAUAUCGAGAAGAACACCGGUGGCGAAGGCGGCUACCUGGACAGAGUCUGACGCUGAGGCACGAAAGCUAGGGGAGCAAACAGG